UUGAGUUCCCACGCACAAUACCCAGUUGAUAUAAGUUAGCACCUCACCGAGCACAUGUGUAAUAGAAAAACACGCAUCAGGAGCACUCCAACUCCAAGCAACUCAGCAAAGACAAUUAAUGUGGAAAGCCAAUAAUUGUGGAAAUGAUUUCAAGAGGCUUCACAACAUAGUCAUGGGUACAGAUAUAGAACCUACUGAGAAAACUUGUGCCAGUAUGCAGCACACACCAUUCAUCAUAUUCAACCUCCAUACUUUUAGAACAAAUCUAAAAAGCUGGAAACAUAAACCAACGGAUCCACAAAACAAGCUCAUUGGCCCCUCAGUGCUUACUGCCUGUUCUUCUUCUUGACACCGGACUUGGCAACCUGGAGGCUGCGGUAAACUGCACUCAGUCUUGCAAGAGCAGGCUUGGUCAAGUCAGGCCUAUAGUAGUUAUCACUGACCUGGAAAGCAUGAAGAAUAACCAUUAGAUCAAGAAAACAAAUGAAGGAGACAUGGUUUAACAGGAAGAAAUCUUAAGCAGCAUUUCUACACUACAUGUAACCACCAAAGGUAGGACCAUUUCCAACUAGUACCAUAGAAAACCAAGCACAAACAGGCAGGGGCAGUUUACAAGACAGGCAUUCCAAUCUUUACUGAAUUAAAGCUUUUUCCACAUUAAGGCUCAACUCAUUCACAAGUGAAAUGUCACAUGCUAGAUACAACCAUACAAUGUUACAAAUCAAAAGUAUGUAUUCUUAGAAUAUUAGAGUAAUGUUCCAGGUUGAUUAAAAGCAUUACAUCUGCAGGUUCCAUAACACAGUCCCUACAGAAGAUUAGAGAUGGUACUGUACAAAUUCAGCAAUCAAGCAUAACAGUUAUAUUUCACCUAUGACCAAAACACUGGAAUGGUUGCUACAGGUUAUAUUUCCAAUACCAGUUGUCAUUCAUCACAACUUAAUCAUAAAAGAACAAUAUGGUAGUUCUUAUGCUAAUACCUGGUUCUUGACAGCCUUGGCCAUCUUGCGGAACUCCUUGCGCAUGACAGUCUUGUGGGUGAACGCGGCAGGCUUGUUCUGCUUCUUUGACUUGGUUGUGGAGAGGACCACAGUCAUCUCCUUCUCAGCAGCUGG
rnacentral:lncRNA from 1 species